rnacentral:rRNA from 1 species
GGGUAGGGGAGCGUUCUGUAAGCCUGUGAAGGUGGCCUGUGAGGGUUGCUGGAGGUAUCAGAAGUGCGAAUGCUGACAUAAGUAACGAUAAAGCGGGUGAAAAGCCCGCUCGCCGGAAGACCAAGGGUUCCUGUCCAACGUUAAUCGGGGCAGGGUGAGUCGACCCCUAAGGCGAGGCCGAAAGGCGUAGUCGAUGGGAAACGGGUUAAUAUUCCCGUACUUGGUGUUACUGCGAAGGGGGGACGGAGAAGGCUAUGUUGGCCGGGCGACGGUUGUCCCGGUUUAAGCGUGUAGGUGUGUGUUCCAGGUAAAUCCGGUUCACUUUAACACUGAGGCGUGAUGACGAGGCACUACGGUGCUGAAGCAACAAAUGCCCUGCUUCCAGGAAAAGCCUCUAAGCAUCAGGUAACAUCAAAUCGUACCCCAAACCGACACAGGUGGUCAGGUAGAGAAUACCAAGGCGCUUGAGAGAACUCGGGUGAAGGAACUAGGCAAAAUGGUGCCGUAACUUCGGGAGAAGGCACGCUGACAUGUAGGUGAAGUGAUUUACUCAUGGAGCUGAAGUCAGUCGAAGAUACCAGCUGGCUGCAACUGUUUAUUAAAAACACAGCACUGUGCAAACACGAAAGUGGACGUAUACGGUGUGACGCCUGCCCGGUGCCGGAAGGUUAAUUGAUGGGGUCAGCGCAAGCGAAGCUCCUGAUCGAAGCCCCGGUAAACGGCGGCCGUAACUAUAACGGUCCUAAGGUAGCGAAAUUCCUUGUCGGGUAAGUUCCGACCUGCACGAAUGGCGUAAUGAUGGCCAGGCUGUCUCCACCCGAGACUCAGUGAAAUUGAACUCGCUGUGAAGAUGCAGUGUACCCGCGGCAAGACGGAAAGACCCCGUGAACCUUUACUAUAGCUUGACACUGAACAUUGAGCCUUGAUGUGUAGGAUAGGUGGGAGGCUUUGAAGCGUGGACGCCAGUCUGCGUGGAGCCGGCCUUGAAAUACCACCCUUUAAUGUUUGAUGUUCUAACGUGGACCCGUGAUCCGGGUUGCGGACAGUGUCUGGUGGGUAGUUUGACUGGGGCGGUCUCCUCCUAAAGAGUAACGGAGGAGCACGAAGGUUGGCUAAUCCUGGUCGGACAUCAGGAGGUUAGUGCAAUGGCAUAAGCCAGCUUGACUGCGAGCGUGACGGCGCGAGCAGGUGCGAAAGCAGGUCAUAGUGAUCCGGUGGUUCUGAAUGGAAGGGCCAUCGCUCAACGGAUAAAAGGUACUCCGGGGAUAACAGGCUGAUACCGCCCAAGAGUUCAUAUCGACGGCGGUGUUUGGCACCUCGAUGUCGGCUCAUCACAUCCUGGGGCUGAAGUAGGUCCCAAGGGUAUGGCUGUUCGCCAUUUAAAGUGGUACGCGAGCUGGGUUUAGAACGUCGUGAGACAGUUCGGUCCCUAUCUGCCGUGGGCGCUGGAGAACUGAGGGGGGCUGCUCCUAGUACGAGAGGACCGGAGUGGACGCAUCACUGGUGUUCGGGUUGUCAUGCCAAUGGCACUGCCCGGUAGCUAAAUGCGGAAGAGAUAAGUGCUGAAAGCAUCUAAGCACGAAACUUGCCCCGA